AGCAGCCGCGGUAAUUCCAGCUCCAAUAGCGUAUAUUAAAGUUGUUGCAGUUAAAAAGCUCGUAGUUGAAUUUCGGGAUCAAUACGUCGGUCGUGCUUUCGGGUACGUACUGGCGUCAUUGGUUUCUCCUUUCUGACGAACCAUGAUGUCAUUAAUUUGGUGUUAUGGGGAGUUAGGACUGUUACUUUGAAAAAAUUAGAGUGUUUAAAGCAGGCUCACGCUUGAAUACAUUAGCAUGGAAUAAUGAAAUAGGACGUUUGAUUCUAUUUUGUUGGUUUCUAGGAUCGACGUAAUGAUUAAUAGGGAUAGUUGGGGGCAUUAGUAUUCAAUUGUCAGAGGUGAAAUUCUUGGAUUUAUUGAAGACUAACUACUGCGAAAGCAUUUGCCAAGGAUGUUUUCAUUAAUCAAGAACGAAAGUUAGGGGAUCGAAGACGAUCAGAUACCGUCGUA
rnacentral:rRNA from 1 species